rnacentral:rRNA from 1 species
UACGUAGGGGGCAAGCGUUGUCCGGAUUUAUUGGGCGUAAAGAGCGUGUAGGCGGCCGCACAGGUCCGUUGUGAAACUGGAGGCUUAACCUUCAGACGUCGAUGGAAACCGUGCGGCUAGAGUCCGGAAGAGGAGAAUGGAAUUCCUGGUGUAGCGGUGAAAUGCGCAGAUAUCAGGAAGAACACCCGUGGCGAAGGCGGCUCUCUGGUACGUGACUGGACGGCUGAGACGCGAAAGCGUGGGGAGAAACAGG